rnacentral:rRNA from 1 species
AACGAACGCUGGCGGCAUGCCUAACACAUGCAAGUCGAACGAGACCUUCGGGUCUAGUGGCGCACGGGUGCGUAACGCGUGGGAACCUGCACUUAGGUUCGGCAUAACUCCCCGAAAGGGGUGCUAAUACCGGAUAAUGUCUUCGGACCAAAGAUUUAUCGCCUUUGGAUGGGCCCGCGUUGGAUUAGCUAGUUGGUAGGGUAAAAGCCUACCAAGGCGACGAUCCAUAGCUGGUCUGAGAGGAUGGUCAGCCACACUGGGACUGAGACACGGCCCAGACUCCUACGGGAGGCAGCAGUGGGGAAUAUUGGACAAUGGGCGAAAGCCUGAUCCAGCAAUGCCGCGUGAGUGAUGAAGGCCUUAGGGUUGUAAAGCUCUUUUACCCGGGAUGAUAAUGACAGUACCGGGAGAAUAAGCUCCGGCUAACUCCGUG